CCUACGGGCGGCUGCAGUGGGGAAUAUUGCGCAAUGGGGGAAACCCUGACGCAGCGACGCCGCGUGGGUGAUGAAGGCCUUCGGGUCGUAAAGCCCUGUCGGAGGGGAAGAACGACUGGCGCUCGAAUAGGGCGUUGAUCUGACGGUACCCUCAAAGGAAGCACCGGCUAACUCCGUGCCAGCAGCCGCGGUAAUACGGAGGGUGCAAGCGUUGCUCGGAAUCACUGGGCGUAAAGAGCGUGUAGGCGGUUUCGUAUGUCUGACGUGAAAGCCCC
rnacentral:rRNA from 1 species